GCCUGGCAUGGUGGCGCAUGCCUGUAAUCCCAGCACUUUGGGAGGCUGAGGUGGGCGGAUCACCUGAGGUCAGGAGUUCGAGACCAGCCUGGCCAACAUGGUGAAAUCCCAUCUCUA
ensembl:misc_RNA Metazoa_SRP Metazoan signal recognition particle RNA